rnacentral:rRNA from 1 species
ACGAACGCUGGCGGCGUGCUUCACACAUGCAAGUCGAACGAAAAGGCCCUGCUUUUGUGGGGUGCUCGAGUGGCGAACGGGUGAGUAACACGUGAGUAACCUGCCCUUGACUUUGGGAUAACUUCAGGAAACUGGGGCUAAUACCGGAUAGGAGCUCCUGCUGCAUGGUGGGGGUUGGAAAGUUUCGGCGGUUGGGGAUGGACUCGCGGCUUAUCAGCUUGUUGGUGGGGUAGUGGCUUACCAAGGCUUUGACGGGUAGCCGGCCUGAGAGGGUGACCGGCCACAUUGGGACUGAGAUACGGCCCAGACUCCUACGGGAGGCAGCAGUGGGGAAUAUUGCACAAUGGGCGGAAGCCUGAUGCAGCAACGCCGCGUGCGGGAUGACGGCCUUCGGGUUGUAAACCGCUUUCGCCUGUGACGAAGCGUGAGUGACGGUAAUGGGUAAAGAAGCACCGGCUAACUACGUG